rnacentral:rRNA from 1 species
AGAUUAAGUUAUUAAGGGCGCACGGUGGAUGCCUUGGCACUAGAAGCCGAUGAAGGACGUUACUAACGACGAUAUGCUUUGGGGAGCUGUAAGUAAGCUUUGAUCCAGAGAUUUCCGAAUGGGGAAACCCAGCAUGAGUUAUGUCAUGUUAUCGAUAUGUGAAUACAUAGCAUAUCAGAAGGCACACCCGGAGAACUGAAACAUCUUAGUACCCGGAGGAAGAGAAAGAAAAUUCGAUUCCCUUAGUAGCGGCGAGCGAAACGGGAAGAGCCCAAACCAACAAGCUUGCUUGUUGGGGUUGUAGGACACUCUAUACGGAGUUACAAAGGACGACAUUAGACGAAUCAUCUGGAAAGAUGAAUCAAAGAAGGUAAUAAUCCUGUAGUCGAAAAUGUUGUCUCUCUUGAGUGGAUCCUGAGUACGACGGAGCACGUGAAAUUCCGUCGGAAUCUGGGAGGACCAUCUCCUAAGGCUAAAUACUCUCUAGUGACCGAUAGUGAACCAGUACCGUGAGGGAAAGGUGAAAAGCACCCCGGAAGGGGAGUGAAAUAGAACCUGAAACCGUGUGCUUACAAGUAGUCAGAGCCCGUUAAUGGGUGAUGGCGUGCCUUUUGUAGAAUGAACCGGCGAGUUACGAUUUGAUGCAAGGUUAAGCAGUAAAUGUGGAGCCGUAGCGAAAGCGAGUCUGAAUAGGGCGUUUAGUAUUUGGUCGUAGACCCGAAACCAGGUGAUCUACCCUUGGUCAGGUUGAAGUUCAGGUAACACUGAAUGGAGGACCGAACCGACUUACGUUGAAAAGUGAGCGGAUGAACUGAGGGUAGCGGAGAAAUUCCAAUCGAACCUGGAGAUAGCUGGUUCUCUCCGAAAUAGCUUUAGGGCUAGCCUCAAGUGAUGAUUAUUGGAGGUAGAGCACUGUUUGGACGAGGGGCCCCUCUCGGGUUACCGAAUUCAGACAAACUCCGAAUGCCAAUUAAUUUAACUUGGGAGUCAGAACAUGGGUGAUAAGGUCCGUGUUCGAAAGGGAAACAGCCCAGACCACCAGCUAAGGUCCCAAAAUAUAUGUUAAGUGGAAAAGGAUGUGGCGUUGCCCAGACAACUAGGAUGUUGGCUUAGAAGCAGCCAUCAUUUAAAGAGUGCGUAAUAGCUCACUAGUCGAGUGACACUGCGCCGAAAAUGUACCGGGGCUAAACAUAUUACCGAAGCUGUGGAUUGUCCUUUGGACAAUGGUAGGAGAGCGUUCUAAGGGCGUUGAAGCAUGAUCGUAAGGACAUGUGGAGCGCUUAGAAGUGAGAAUGCCGGUGUGAGUAGCGAAAGACGGGUGAGAAUCCCGUCCACCGAUUGACUAAGGUUUCCAGAGGAAGGCUCGUCCGCUCUGGGUUAGUCGGGUCCUAAGCUGAGGCCGACAGGCGUAGGCGAUGGAUAACAGGUUGAUAUUCCUGUACCACCUAUAAUCGUUUUAAUCGAUGGGGGGACGCAGUAGGAUAGGCGAAGCGUGCGAUUGGAUUGCACGUCUAAGCAGUAAGGCUGAGUAUUAGGCAAAUCCGGUACUCGUUAAGGCUGAGCUGUGAUGGGGAGAAGACAUUGUGUCUUCGAGUCGUUGAUUUCACACUGCCGAGAAAAGCCUCUAGAUAGAAAAUAGGUGCCCGUACCGCAAACCGACACAGGUAGUCAAGAUGAGAAUUCUAAGGUGAGCGAGCGAACUCUCGUUAAGGAACUCGGCAAAAUGACCCCGUAACUUCGGGAGAAGGGGUGCUCUUUAGGGUUAACGCCCAGAAGAGCCGCAGUGAAUAGGCCCAAGCGACUGUUUAUCAAAAACACAGGUCUCUGCUAAACCGUAAGGUGAUGUAUAGGGGCUGACGCCUGCCCGGUGCUGGAAGGUUAAGAGGAGUGGUUAGCUUCUGCGAAGCUACGAAUCGAAGCCCCAGUAAACGGCGGCCGUAACUAUAACGGUCCUAAGGUAGCGAAAUUCCUUGUCGGGUAAGUUCCGACCCGCACGAAAGGCGUAACGAUUUGGGCACUGUCUCAACGAGAGACUCGGUGAAAUCAUAGUACCUGUGAAGAUGCAGGUUACCCGCGACAGGACGGAAAGACCCCGUGGAGCUUUACUGUAGCCUGAUAUUGAAAUUCGGCACAGCUUGUACAGGAUAGGUAGGAGCCUUUGAAACGUGAGCGCUAGCUUACGUGGAGGCGCUGGUGGGAUACUACCCUAGCUGUGUUGGCUUUCUAACCCGCACCACUUAUCGUGGUGGGAGACAGUGUCAGGCGGGCAGUUUGACUGGGGCGGUCGCCUCCUAAAAGGUAACGGAGGCGCUCAAAGG